GACGAACGCUGGCGGCGUGCUAAACACAUGCAAGUCGAACGGUAAGGCCCUUCGGGGUACACGAGCGGCGAACGGGUGAGUAACACGUGGGUGAUCUGCCCUGCACUUCGGGAUAAGCCUGGGAAACUGGGUCUAAUACCGGAUAGGACUCCUGGCUUCAUGGUUGGGGGUGGAAAGCUUUUGCGGUGUGGGAUGGGCCCGCGGCCUAUCAGCUUGUUGGUGGGGGAAUGGCCUACCAAGGCGACGACGGGUAGCCGGCCUGCGAGGGUGACCGGUCACACUGGGACUGAGAUACGGCCCAGAGUCCUACGGGAGGCAGCAGUGGGGAAUAUUGCACAAUGGGCGCAAGCCUGAUGCAGCGACGCCGCGGGAGGGAUGACGGCCUUCGGGUUGUAAACCUCUUUCAGCUAUGACGAAGCGCAAGUGACGGUAGUAGCAGAAGAAGGACCGGCCAACUACGUGCCAGCCGCCGCAGUAA
rnacentral:rRNA from 1 species